GGGUGAUUAUUUCUGAUGACUUAAAGGUAGGCAGACAAUGUAAUAGAGCAGCAGGAAAUGCUAGCAGAAUGCUUGGUUGUAUAGGGAGAGGUAUUAGCAGUAGAAAGAGGGAAGUGCUCAUGCCAUUGUACAGAACACUGGUGAGACCUCACUUGGAGUAUUUUACACAGUACUGGAGACCGUAUCUUCAGAAGGAUAUUGAUACCUUAGAGAGGGUUCAGAGAAGGGCUACUAAACUGGUUCAUGGAUUGCGG